UUCCUCGGUGCUUGGAGGUCAGGUUGGGACUGCCUGGAUUUGAGCACCGUGUCCUAUUUGUGAAGAGAGCAAAGCCAUGCCCAGUCUGAAUAAUUUGAUUCUGGCUAUACGAGCAUGCAGGACCACUACUUUAUGGUAUAUUGACAUUUUCAUUACUUUUAUUUCACCCCCAUUUUCACGAGGACGCAGAAGUUGCAUAAACUGGAUGAAAUGUGCUUAUAGAGUAAUUUGAGUGUAAAUAUUUGUAAUUAUUUAACAUGUCUUAAAAACAAUAACAUGCAUUUUCAUUACUUUUAUUCCCACCCCCAUUUCUAGUGUAACACUUCUGUUUAUAUUUAUUUAUUACAUCUAGUUUACCUGUUUUAUAUUGCUUUAUAACUGUGUGUGUUUUACAUGUUAUAUGUGUUAUCAGCCUCGUUUAGUCUUGUCAAGUAUUUGUUUUAAAGCACUGACAAAGAAGAAGUGGCAAACUGUGAAUCUCGUUGUAUUUAAUACAAUGACAAUAAAGCGUUCUAUUCCAUUCUAUUCCAUUCCAUUCUAUUCCAUUCCAUUCUAUUCCAUUCUAUUCUAUUCCAUUCCAUUCUAUUUACAGGAGAAGACGCAGAAGUUGCAUAAACUGGGCGAAAUGGGCUUAUAGAGUAAUUUGAGUAUAAAUAUUUUAAUUUAUUUAACAUGUCUUAAAAUAAAACAACAUGCAUCAAUAAACUCCUUUUGGAGUUUUAUUUAAAAAAAAAAGGGCCAGAAAUAAGGAUGACUUCUGCUGCUGUGAGGAUGAUUUAAUUGGUUUAAUUUGGAGCUGGAGGUUGGACAUUUAAAAAAAACCAAACAGUUUUAGGGGUUUAAUUCAUUCUUUAUUAGGUGUUUUUGUUGUCCCAAAAUAUACUAAGUGUGCGUGUGUGUGGUAUAAAUGUAUUGUUCUGGGCGGGGCAGUGAUCAGUGAUAGGAUGGAGGGCGGGGACACAUUGGAUUAAACAAACUGAAAGACAACGAUUGUUGUUUUUUUUACACAAACGAAUGAGAUUUUGUUAAAAAAAAAAAAAAAAAAAAGCAUCCCACGCCGUUAAAAACCUCUUUACUCAAACAUAUUUUCAUUUAUCUUGAUGCUCUAUAUAUAAUUUAAUCACGCAAACCGUUUGUCUGCUUUUUAUAUAUUAAUAUAGGUUUCCAUUUAGAUAAUUUGUCUCUCCAUUAAACGCUCAUUUGAAACAGGUAUUAUUCCCUAAAACCGCAUUUCUCUUUUCUCUGUCUCUUGAAUUAGUCCAAAAAUCUACUUUACCUGCAGGAGACUUGAUUAGAUGAGAACAGCA